rnacentral:rRNA from 1 species
UACGUAGGGGGCGAGCGUUGCCCGGAAUCAUUGGGCGUAAAGGGCGCGCAGGCGGCCUGAUUAGUCGUGGGUGAAAUCGUUCGGCUCAACCGAGCGGGGUCCUGCGAAACGGUCGGGCUGGAGCAAGGCAGGGGGUCGUGGAAUUCCCGGUGUAGUGGUGGAAUGCGUAGAGAUCGGGAGGAACACCAGUGGCGAAGGCGGCGACCUGGGCCGUACCUGACACUGAUGCGCGACAGCAUGGGGAGCAAACAGG